GAUGAACGCUGGCGGCGUGCUUAACACAUGCAAGUCGAACGGAAAGGCCCAAUCUUGCUUGGGUACUCGAGUGGCGAACGGGUGAGUAACACGUGGGUGGUCUGCCCUGCACUUCGGGAUAAGCCUGGGAAACUGGGUCUAAUACCGUAUAGGACCACAUCUUGGAUGGGGUGGGGGAAAGUUUUUCGGUGUGGGAUGAGCUCGCGGCCUAUCAGCUUGUUGGUGGGGUAAUGGCCUACCAAGGCGUCGACGGGUAGCCGGCCUGGGAGGGUGGACGGCCAAAUUGGGACUGGGAUACGGCCCAGACUCCUACGGGAGGGAGGAGUGGGGAAGAUUGCACAAUGGGGGGAAGGCUGAUGCAGCGAAGGCGCGUGGGGGGUGGCGGGCUUCGGGUUGGAAACUCCUUUCGCUAGGGACGAAGCGUUUUUGUGACGGUACCUGGAGAAGAAGCACCGGCUAACUACGUG
rnacentral:rRNA from 1 species